UGGGGAAUAUUGCACAAUGGGCGCAAGCCUGAUGCAGCCAUGCCGCGUGUGUGAAGAAGGCCUUCGGGUUGUAAAGCACUUUCAGCGGGGAGGAAGACGUUAAGGUUAAUAACCUUUGCUCAUUGACGUUACCCGCAGAAGAAGCACCGGCUAACUCCGUGCCAGCAGCCGCGGUAAUACGGAGGGUGCAAGCGUUAAUCGGAAUUACUGGGCGUAAAGCGCACGCAGGCGGUUUGUUAAGUCAGAUGUGAAAUCCCCGGGCUCAACCUGGGAACUGCAUCUGAUACUGGCAAGCUUGAGUCUCGUAGAGGGGGGUAGAAUUCCAGGUGUAGCGGUGAAAUGCGUAGAGAUCUGGAGGAAUACCGGUGGCGAAGGCGGCCCCCUGGACGAAGACUGACGCUCAGGUGCGAAAGCGUGGGGAGCAAACAGG
rnacentral:rRNA from 1 species